AUGCCUAACACAUGCAAGUCGAACGGAGCUAGAACAGAAGCUUGCUUUAUUUUAGCUUAGUGGCGGACGGGUGAGUAACGCGUGAGAAACCUGCCCUGAAGUGGGAAUAACGGCGAGAAAUCGGCGCUAAUACCGCAUAAUGUCGGAGAUCCGCAUGUUUUCCGACCAAGGAUUUAUUCGUCUUUAGGAUGGUCUCGCGUCCGAUUACGUUAGUUGUGGGGUAACGGCCUACCCAAGACCGCGAUCGGUAGCCGAACUGAGAGGUUGAUCGGCCACAUUGGGACUGAGACACGGGCCCAGACUCCUACGGGAGGCAGCAGUGGGGAAUAUUGGGCAAUGGGCGAAAGCCUGACCCAGCAAUGCCGCGUGAAGGAUGAAGGUCCUCCGGAUUGUAAACUUCUUUGAUUGGGAAGAAUAAAUGACCUACCCAAAGAACAAGUCACGGCUAACUACGUGCC
rnacentral:rRNA from 1 species